AGUCGAACGGUAGCACAGGAGAGCUUGCUCUCGGGUGACGAGUGGCGGACGGGUGAGUAAUGUCUGGGAAACUGCCUGAUGGAGGGGGAUAACUACUGGAAACGGUAGCUAAUACCGCAUAACGUCGCAAGACCAAAGAGGGGGACCUUCGGGCCUCUUGCCAUCAGAUGUGCCCAGAUGGGAUUAGCUAGUAGGUGGGGUAACGGCUCACCUAGGCGACGAUCCCUAGCUGGUCUGAGAGGAUGACCAGCCACACUGGAACUGAGACACGGUCCCCACUCCUACGGGAGGCAGCAGUGGGGAAUAUUGCACAAUG
rnacentral:rRNA from 1 species